rnacentral:rRNA from 1 species
AUGUCGCUACCGUGGAGCGUCGUGCAUCUCCCCAACUACUGGCACCUCUUGGCGGACCACGUGCCAAUCACUCCGAUCUCGGUCGGCGAUCUAGCUCGCUGUGAGGCGACCCAGCGCCGCCGCGCUCGCCUGGCCCCCGACCUCCUCGCCGACGCCAGUUACACUGUGGACUCUCCGAUGUGGGAUACGUGGUUCCGCGACGAGCACGACGUGGGUCGACAAUCCUACUUCACCGGUUGUGCUCCGAGCAAGCCACGGGUGUGCUCUGGCAGUUGCACACACGCUCUCAGCCCGCCCGACCGCGCGGUCGUGCGCGGGUCCGCGGGCUAA